AGUUGGAGGACCGGAAGGACCCUGGUCCUCCAGUCAGUCAGAGCGCAGGCUUGGUGUAAAUAAAGAUUGAGCUUCACACAGACUAAAACCUCCUCCUGUGUCCAACAUCUGACAGCCUGUGGGAAACUGAUCCUGGGAGUCUCCAGAGAGAUUUUGAGGGAUUCGAAUGGGACUGCAAGGCAGUGAGUCGGCCAGCAGAGAGAUGUUGUUGUGACUGAACAAGACAAGUUGAUAUUAGAAGAGCAGGAUUUCCAGACAGAAAUCUCAAACCAAACGUCAAGGUCUAACAGUCACUCAAUUCAUCGGGAGCUGAAUAUCAUCAGCCUUUGAAUCUAGAAGAAGAAAUGUUUGUCUGUUCUGUCUGCUUCAAAAGAUUUUAAACAUCAGUGUGAGUGGAAAAGCACCGAGACACAGACACCCGAGUGAGAGUGUUCCAUAGCACUGACUGUGGAAAGAACUUUAACCAGUUACACAGCCUGAAAAAACAUCACACCAUUCACAGUGGAGAGAGACAUUAUACAUGUCCUGUGUGAGGAUGAGGCUUCAACUGACCAUCAGAUCUGGAGAGACACAAGAACAUCCGCACCAUGGAAAAACCGUGGACAUGUGGGGACUGUGGGAAAGGAUUCAGAUCCCCAUCUGAGCUGGAAGCUCACCGACACAGUCAUACUGGAGAGAGGCCAUUCGUCUGCUCUGUAUGUGGGAAGGGAUUCACUCAUUCAUUCAACCUGCUCAGACACCAGUGACUUCACACUGGGGAGAGGCCAUUUGCCUGCUCUGUUUGUGGGAAGGGAUUUAUUCAUUCAUCCAACCUGCAUAAACACCAGCGAGUUCACACUGGGGAGAGGCCGUUCAGCUGCUCUCAAUGUGAGAAGGGAUUCAGUAAUUCAUCUGACCUGUGGAAACACCAGCGAGUUCACAGAGGGGAAAGGCCAUUCACCUGCUCUGAAUGUGGGAAGGGAUUCAAUCAGUCAUCCCACCUGUUGAGACACCAGCGAGUCCACAAGUGAUUCCAGGCGUUGGAUUCUGCUGUUAUUGCUGCUGUUAAUCACAUCCAGGAAUGAACUACAUUCAUUCUGACAGUUUGUGAAGUGGGAGGGUCAGAGGGUUUCUUUCUGUUUGACUGGCUGGUCUCGUGACUUUGCUUCCAGUGGGCUGAUGCUCUUUGAAAUUGAAUUCUCCACUGAAACGAUCCACAAAAGCUAAUGAAGGACAUUUAUUUUAUCCUCGACAGUAAACAGUGUUUUUCCUACCACUACAGGUAAAUCUAAAAUAAAUACAGGAAGUUUAGGAAAACUCAGCAAGUCUGGCAGCAUCUUUGGAGAGAGAAACAGAGUUAUAUGUUUCAAGUCCAGUCUGACUCUUCUCCAGAAUUUUAGAGAUGGAGAAAUGUGAUGGGUUUGAUGCUGUUGAGGAAGGGGGGAGGGUCCGGAAGAACAAAAAGGAAAGUCAUGGGUUGGUUAGAGGGCAGGCGAGAUUAAAUAACAAACAUGGAACAAAAGUCAAAGGGAUAGAUAAUGGUUGUAGUAAAGAAACAAAGCAUUGGUCCAGAGUAAGUGUUUAUGGCAGAAUAAAGGACAGCUCUGUCUGAAAGCAAAAACAUGAAAACAAGAUGCAGACUGGCACUUGGCAAAAAAAGAUCAAAACAGAGGAUUGGGUUGACAGUCUGAAGUUGUGGAACUCAAUGCUGAGUCCAGAAGGCUGUAAAGUGCUUCAUUGGAGGAUGAGUUGCUGUUUGUCCAGCUUGUGUUGGGCUUCUCAGGAACAUUGCAGCAGGCCAAGGACAGAAAUGUGAGCAUGAGAGCAAGGUGGUGAAUUAUAAUGGCAGCAACUAGAAGGUCAGGAUCAUGCUUAUGGACUGAGUGGAGGUGUUCCACAAAGAGGACAGCGAACAGGGGACAGAUGAAUUAAAGAGAAAGCAUUUGGGUCCAGAACAUUGUGCACAUCCUUUUACUCUGGUUGUCUUUGAUCCUCAAGUAAUUUUCUAUUUCUUUUUAACCAUGUUCUGUUUCAUUAAGAAACUUUUAUCAGUAAAAAUAUUUGAUUUUUCUGGACUUUCCAUGAAUAGAUUUAUUCAAUUUAGGGAAAGUGGGUGAGAGGGGUUGGCAGGCUCUUCAACAGAAAGUGAGUCAAUAGUAUCUUUGAAAAGAGUAGAUACUUGAAGGGGAAAAAAUUGCAGUGCUGUGGGGAAAGAGCAGAGCAAUUGGGUGAAUCAGAGAGUCCUUUCAAAGAGAUGACAGGGGCAUGAUGGGCUGAAUGUACACCUUCUGCAGCCUGUGAAUCUGAGCCUCCUGCUUUUGUGCAGGUUAAAAGGGACAGAUUUCAUUUCAGCCUCUUCCUUGUAUCUGUAUUUAAAGAGACGGGUUUCUGUUCAGCUGUGUGUGACCGACAUAACAAUGUCUCCACUCCUUUGUAUAUUUAAACAUGGAACAAAGCCUUGCAUGGCUGAUUAUAAUCAACAGCCUUCCUGUAGAUCUCUCUGGAUGCAGCAAUGGUUU